rnacentral:rRNA from 1 species
UCCGUAGGUGAACCUGCGGAAGGAUCAUUACAGAGUUCAUGCCCUCACGGGUAGAUCUCCCACCCUUGAAUACUUAUACCUUUGUUGCUUUGGCGGGCCGCUUCGGCUACCGGCUUCGGCUGGUGAGUGCCCGCCAGAGGACCUAAAACUCUGAAUUAUAGUGUCGUCUGAGUACUAUAUAAUAGUUAAAACUUUCAACAACGGAUCUCUUGGUUCUGGCAUCGAUGAAGAACGCAGCGAAAUGCGAUAAGUAAUGUGAAUUGCAGAAUUCAGUGAAUCAUCGAAUCUUUGAACGCACAUUGCGCCCCUUGGUAUUCCGAGGGGCAUGCCUGUUCGAGCGUCAUUAUAACCCUCAGCGCAAGCUGGUGUUGAGCUAGACCCUAGCCUUCGGUUGGGUGCUGGCUUUAAAGUUGUAAGCUCUGCUGGCUGCUUUGCCCAACCAAAACGUAGUAAAAUUUUUACAUCUCGUUCGUGGUAAGGCUUUGCAGGUAACCGGCCUGAACAAAAUCUUUAUUUUCUAAGGUUUGACCUCAGAUCAGACAAGGAUACCCGCUGAACUUAAGCAUAUCAAUAAGCGGAGGGAAGUCGGACUGGCCAAGGGGCACACCAGGGGGGGGGGAUA